GACGAACGCUGGCGGCGUGCGUAAUACAUGCAAGUCGAACGAGAGCGACCGGUGCUUGCACUGGUCAAUCUAGUGGCGAACGGGUGAGUAACACGUGGGUAACCUGCCCAUCAGAGGGGGAUAACAUUCGGAAACGGAUGCUAAAACCGCAUAGGUUCUACAGUCGCAUGACUGAAGAAGGAAAAGAGGCUUCGGCUUCUGCUGAUGGAUGGACCCGCGGUGCAUUAGCUAGUUGGUGAGGUAACGGCUCACCAAGGCCGUGAUGCAUAGCCGACCUGAGAGGGUGAUCGGCCACAUUGGGACUGAGACACGGCCCAAACUCCUACGGGAGGCAGCAGUAGGGAAUCUUCCGCAAUGGACGCAAGUCUGACGGAGCAACGCCGCGUGAGUGAAGAAGGAUUUCGGUUCGUAAAACUCUGUUGUUAGAGAAGAACAGCGCAUAGAGUAACUGUUAUGCGUGUGACGGUAUCUAACCAGAAAGCCACGGCUAACUACGUGCCAGCAGCCGCGGUAAUACGUAGGUGGCAAGCGUUGUCCGGAUUUAUUGGGCGUAAAGCGAGCGCAGGCGGUCAAUUAAGUCUGAUGUGAAAGCCCCCGGCUCAACCGGGGAGGGUCAUUGGAAACUGGUUGACUUGAGUGCAGAAGAGGAGAGUGGAAUUCCAUGUGUAGCGGUGAAAUGCGUAGAUAUAUGGAGGAACACCAGUGGCGAAGGCGACUCUCUGGUCUGUAACUGACGCUGAGGCUCGAAAGCGUGGGUAGCAAACAGG
rnacentral:rRNA from 1 species